rnacentral:rRNA from 1 species
CAGCAGCCGCGGGAAAACGAAGGGGGCUAGCGUUGUUCGGAAUUACUGGGCGUAAAGGGCGCGUAGGCGGCCAUUCAAGUUAGAUGUGAAAGCCCUGGGCUCAACCUAGGAAUUGCAUUUGAUACUGUUUGGCUUGAGUUCGGGAGAGGUGAGUGGAAUUCCCAGUGUAGAGGUGAAAUUCGUAGAUAUUGGGAAGAACACCAGUGGCGAAGGCGGCUCACUGGACCGACACUGACGCUGAGGCGCGAAAGCGUGGGGAGCAAACAGGAUUAGAGACCCCCGUAGUCCCUGUCUCUUAUAC